UACAAGAACUGGAGAGAGGAACCGAGAAACCCAGGAACUGACUCAAACCGAGGGUCGAAGAUGAAUCAACGACCUCUGACCUUGUAAAAGUGAGCCGUGAAAGGCUUCUGCAAGUGGACACGCUUCCUAUUACAAACCAAGUCCAUCGAAGUGGAAAGCUGAAACGAAUGAGUGACACGCCCACCGGUGCACGCCUUUACAGCACGCGCUCCUUCAGCAAUCCAGUGCGGGUUUUGUCGCGUGCCAGGAGUGCGCAUUUGGAAAGGGUUUCGAGUCGGAGCCGGUCAGAGCAAGUUCAGAGUGAAAAAAAAAAAGAAAGAAAGAAGGGGAGUGUGAGCUGGAGAAGACUACAAGCAGCUUUUCUCUUGGUGCAGCUGAUCUCCUGCAGGAGUAGCGAUGGAGAAGGUGCUAACAGCGACGGUGCUUCCGAGGA
ensembl:lncRNA